rnacentral:rRNA from 1 species
UCAGUAGCGGCGAGUGAGCGGCAAAAGCUCAAAUUUGAAAUCUGGCGUCUUUGGCGUCCGAGUUGUAAUUUGAAGAAGGUAUCUUUGGGCCCGGCUCUUGUCUAUGUUCCUUGGAACAGGACGUCACAGAGGGUGAGAAUCCCGUGCGAUGAGAUGACCCGGGUCUGUGUAAAGUUCCUUCGACGAGUCGAGUUGUUUGGGAAUGCAGCUCUAAGUGGGUGGUAAAUUCCAUCUAAAGCUAAAUAUUGGCGAGAGACCGAUAGCGAACAAGUACAGUGAUGGAAAGAUGAAAAGAACUUUGAAAAGAGAGUGAAAAAGUACGUGAAAUUGUUGAAAGGGAAGGGCUUGAGAUCAGACUUGGUAUUUUGCAUGUUGCUCUCUCGGGGGCGGCCGCUGCGGUUUACCGGGCCAGCAUCGGUUUGGAGCGGCAGGAUAAUGGCGGAGGAAUGUGGCACGGCUUCUGCUGUGUGUUAUAGCCUCUGACGAUACUGCCAGCCUAGACCGAGGACUGCGGUUUUUAACCUAGGAUGUUGGCAUAAUGAUCUUAAGUCGCCCGUCUU